CCCUUUCCAGAGACCGUCCAAAGGAAGACCAGGUCGAUGUGCUUGAAGUCAGCAAAAGAACAGACAGCGCAGCCACCCCCUGCAAGCAUGAGCGUCAUUGUUUUGAAGAUUCAUCUGUUGGCAGCAGGGCUGAGCACAACCAAGGACAAGUAUAUCUUACACCCUCUGUAUGAAAAGUGAGAUCAGAGACGCUCAGGUCCUUCCUGAGGCUUCUGUUCCCACCAUGCAGUCCCCAUCCCUAGGCCCAGGUGCAGCCUGCCAAGCAGAUCAACUAGGGACGAUGUCUCUUUCAUGCCCAGGCCUGCCUCCACCAGAUGACAGACCUGCAAAGAGUCUUGUACCCGACCGUGGCUUGUACCAGGCAGCUCCUAUUGGGCCUAACAGCCUGGUUUGUACCUGGCUCUUCAGGGAAUACUGAAAUGUCUGCAGUUAUUGGGUAACUCUGUAUUGACUGUGCCCUGCCUUCCAUCUCAUCCAUAAAAUAAGGGAUGUGGGUCUAUUUACUUCAGUGGCCCUUUGUGUCUCUGAUGCAAGCCCUCUUGGCAUCACCACAGUAGUUCCGAGCGCCUACGCUGGCCUCUCUGGGGAGAGCGGAAGCAUUUUCCAGUCACAUCUGUGUCUCAUCUGCACGCUAAUCUUUUCCUUCCUAGAAAUUUCAUAAUGGCUACAGAUUACUAUUUGGCAGAAUCUUUUCUGCCUGAGCCAAAGAAUCGUUUAUCUCUUUUCUUUCCUG
rnacentral:lncRNA from 1 species